AUUGAACGCUGGCGGCAGGCCUAACACAUGCAAGUCGAGCGAGCGGCGGACGGGUGAGUAAUGUCUGGGAAACUGCCUGCUGGAGGGGGAUAACUACUGGAAACGGUAGCUCAUACCGCAUACCAUCAGAUGUGCCCAGAUGGGAUUAGCUAGUAGGUGGGGUAACGGCUCACCUAGGCGACGAUCCCUAGCUGGUCUGAGAGGAUGACCAGCCACACUGGAACGGAGACACGGUCCGGACUCAUACGGGAGGGAGCAGUGGGGAAGAUUGGACAAUGGGCGAAGGCCGGAGGCAGCGAUGCCGCGUGUGUGAAGAAGGCCUUCGGGUUGAAAAGCACGUUCAGCGGGGAGGCGUUACCCGAAGAAGAAGCACCGGCUAACUCCGUGCCAGCAGCCGCGGUAAUAC
rnacentral:rRNA from 1 species